AUAAUUUUUUCCUGUGUACAAAGUAAAUCAUAUAAAAUUUAACAACAAACAUGUCCGAUGAACAAAACAAAUAUUAUAAAAGAAUAAUCAACAAACAAACAUAACUAAUAGUUAAUUUAUUGAUAUCAUUCAUCAAUAUCAUGUCAAGAGUAUAUUCUUCUCCCGUGUUUGGAUUUGUCGACUCUCACAUAGCGGUCUAUAACUAUCUUUACUUGCAACAACCUUUAUUUUCUUUUAAUACCGUAUAAACAGCCUUCACUUAUCGUUGCAGAAGAACGGCACCACCCAGUUAGAAAUCGAGCAAGAGAACUAUCACCAGAGAGAUGUAGGGUUGUGGUAUUGAGAUAGAAGGUUGUGUUUAGAUAAUCCAAAACCUUGCAACCUAUAGGGGUAUUUAUAGGUGUAGAGAGACUUGUGUGCUACUCUUUCCCAUAAUUAAUAUCAAACAAAAUCAGAUUAAAACUUUCAAGCUUCUAUAUUCCAUAAAUA
rnacentral:lncRNA from 1 species